UACGUAGGUGGCAAGCGUUGUCCGGAUUUACUGGGCGUAAAGGGCGUGCAGGCGGUCUGUUAAGUGCAGGGUGAAAGCUCCCGGCUCAACUGGGAGAGGUCCUUGCAUACUGGCGGACUUGAGGGGGGUAGAGGAAAGUGGAAUUCCCGGUGUAGUGGUGAAAUGCGCAGAUAUCAGGAAGAACACCCGUGGCGAAAAGCGGCUCACUGGCCCGAUACUGACGCUGAGGCACGAAAGCGUGGGGAGCAAACAGG
rnacentral:rRNA from 1 species